rnacentral:rRNA from 1 species
GUCCUAGCUGUAAACGAUGAACACUAGGCGUUGCUUGUAUCGACCCGAGCAGUGCCGUAGCCAACGCGUUAAGUGUUCCGCCUGGGGAGUACGCACGCAAGUGUGAAACUCAAAGGAAUUGACGGGGGCCCCGCACAAGCGGUGGAGUAUGUGGUUUAAUUCGAUGCAACGCGAAGAACCUUACCAGGACUUGACAUCUCGAGAACUUGGUCUAAUAGCCAAGGUGCCUUAGGGAACUCGAAGACAGGUGGUGCAUGGCUGUCGU